rnacentral:lncRNA from 1 species
AGAGUUGGAAUUUUGUUCUAAGGAUGAUAGAAGCCAUUGGAAGGUUUUCUUUGCCAAAGUGAUGUGAUCUGAUAGAAGCUUUUAUGAAGCCCACGUUGUCUACUGUGCAGAGAAUGGAGUAACAGGCCGAGAGGAACCCUAGGGAGACCAGUUAAGAGGCAGAGACAGUGAAGAGGCAAAUACAAUUUCUGACUUACAUAAUGAUGUAUGCACAAGAAGCCUCUCCUUGAAUGUAUUAAUUCAGCAAACAGUUAUGGAGUCCUUACAAUGUGCUAGUGGAACUUUGAAGAUGAACCCAAAUUUGGAUCCUGGCCUGAAAAGGCUCAAAGCCUAAUACGGGGGGGUCUCGCCCUUAUCUCCGUUCUUCUCCCUGCACUCCCACCACCUUACUUACUCCCAUGGCAUGCUACAUCCUUGCAUAAAUAUGCCCAAGGCAGAUGUGGUAAUGAAGAUUGGUUGAGAAUUCUGAAGGCAGACAUCCCAGACACCAAUGACACCAUUUCUCUGUGGCUCACUUUUCUUAUCUGUGAAAAGGGAGCUAGUUACCACCAGCCCCAACCCCAAUCCUCUCCCCACCUCACAGAAUGGGGAGAGGAUUCAGUGGGCAGUCCCUGGCAUAGGGGCCACAGGCUCUACAACACCAAAUAUCGUUCAUAUUCUAGUUCUGUAUUCUGUGUCCCCUAUUGCCCCAAUAUAAGUUCAUUUAAAACAAAAAGCUUCUAUCUCAGGUAGAAAACCCAUCAUCACUGGGCAUU